CCUACGGGAGGCAGCAGUGGGGAAUAUUGGGCAAUGGGCGCAAGCCUGACCCAGCAACGCCGCGUGAAGGAAGAAGGCUUUCGGGUUGUAAACUUCUUUUCUCAGGGACGAAGAAAGUGACGGUACCUGAGGAAUAAGCCACGGCUAACUACGUGCCAGCAGCCGCGGUAAUACGUAGGUGGCAAGCGUUAUCCGGAUUUACUGGGUGUAAAGGGCGUGUAGGCGGGGAGGCAAGUCAGAUGUGAAAACCACGGGCUCAACCUGUGGCCUGCAUUUGAAAAUGUUUAUCUUGAGUGCUGGAGAGGCAAUCGGAAUUCCGGGUGUAGCGGUGAAAUGCGUAGAUAUACGGAGGAACACCAGUGGCGAAGGCGGAUUGCUGGACAGUAACUGACGCUGAGGCGCGAAAGCGUGGGGAGCAAACAGGAUUAGAUACCCCAGUAGUC
rnacentral:rRNA from 1 species